UACGGAGGGUGCAAGCGUUAAUCGGAAUUACUGGGCGUAAAGCGCACGCAGGUGGCUGAGUCAGUCGAUUGUGAAAGCCCUGGGCUUAACCUGGGAAUUGCAGUCGAUACUACUCAGCUAGAGUAUGGGAGAGGGCAGUGGAAUUCCCGGUGUAGCGGUGAAAUGCGUAGAUAUCGGGAGGAACAUCAGUGGCGAAGGCGGCGCUCUGGGCCGGUACUGACACUGAGGAGCGAAAGCGUGGGUAGCAAACAGG
rnacentral:rRNA from 1 species